GCUGGGCAUGGUGGCGCACACCUGUAAUCCCAGUGACUUGGGGAGGCUGAGGUAGGAGAAUUGCGAGUUCAAAUCCAGUCUCAGCAAAGGCGAGGCGCUAAACAAUUCAGUCAGACCCUGUCUCUA
rnacentral:sRNA from 1 species